rnacentral:lncRNA from 1 species
GGGGGGGGGGGGGGGGUGUUCCGAAAUUCAUGUUCUGCGGGAAAAUGGGGGGUCGUCGUUUGGUUGUACCAGAACGAUAGGGAAGGGACCCUGUUUUGCGGCUGAAGCUUCAGCUGUUAUAGCUUGGAUCUACCUGCUCGAAAUGCUGAAGAAGCUACAAUGUUAGGGGUAUGUAAGGAAGACGACUGGAGGGGGUGGGGUCUUUUUUUUCUAUCUCCAUUUUUUUGCUUCUCUCCCCC